rnacentral:lncRNA from 1 species
AGCAUUUUAUAAGCCUAGAAUGACAGUAGAAGGGAAAGGGUCACAAUUCCUUUUGUCCCAUCCUAACUUUUGAGAAGUUAAGGUUGGAGUUUCAAAGCUGACAGUGAGUAAGCAAGACCAAAGAAUGAGAGGCAGGGCCUGGUCGUGGGCAGAGAGAAUAUAAAAGAAAUAUGAUUCACAGAAAUCCUAAAAUAAUACUAGGAAAAAUAGGGACAUAAAGGUUUGCAUUCUGGUUUGACUAUUUCUAAGCAUUCUGGGAUGACAACUCUGAAUUCUGACAGGCCCACUGAAAAAAAGACUCAUAGAUGAGGAGUUUAGUCCAGGGUUUCACUGUAGCAAACAGAUGGAUAACCAGAACCUUUAUGAAAUGAUAACAAAUGGCACAAAAUAACUGGAGGAAUAUAUUCACAACAAUUUGAAAAAAACAAAACAAACACACAGGAA